rnacentral:misc_RNA from 1 species
GUACGUAUUAAUACUGUCAACGCAUUAUUGUCAAACAACCGACUCUCAUUGUUUCAACUUUAACAAAUGUCUUCGGCAAGUUGUUGCAAAUCGAGCUCCUACGGAAACGAAGAGAAAAUGACUGAAAUCAAAGAAAGCAAACUGCCAAAGCCGCCGGUUCCCGAGCUCUCCGUCACUCUAAACAGAUUCUUGGAAGGAAUCAAAGCAAUCGUCCCCGGUGACAAAUACCAGGAAGCUCGUAGAUUGGUCGAAGAAUAUCAAAAGUCGGGCGAAAUGCAAAAGCUGCAGGAGUUCUUGAAGAAAUAUGCAGAAAGCAAAGAAAAUUACGUAACUGGAUUCUGUACGAACGAUAUGUAUUUAAAAAAUCCUUUGCCUCUGCCCAUCAACUCCAGUCCGUUCUUUCUGCUGCCGAAACAAGAAUUCAAAACGGAUGACGAAAGAUUUCGAUUCAUUGCCAAAUUUAUCAUCUUUUCGCUUAUGUUUAAGGAAGAAGUUGACAGAGGUAAAUUAAAACAGGAAUUUGCUGGAGGACAAGGGAAAGGUAAUGCGCUUUCCAUGGCCACGUAUCAUCACUUCUUCGAGGCUUACAGGAGACCAGGCGCGAUUAAAGACGAGCACAUUUUUAGAGAAGGAAACCGAUAUAUCAUUGUGGUGUGCAACAAUCAGUUAUUUCAAAUGAAAACACCUGGUGGAUCAGGUCAUCCAAGAGAAGAAAUUCUGGUAGAAGAACUCAAGAAAAUCGAAGCGCUAAGUAAGCAGGAGCCACACUAUCCGCCAGUGGGUAUUCUCACGGCUCUCAAUCGAAAAGAAUGGGCGACGAUAAGAGAACGAAUGAUCGAAAACGAUAAUAAUAAAGAGUCCAUUCACAUUAUUGAAAAUUGCAUGUUUGUGGUGUGCAUGGACGAAUCGAACGAAGGGGCGAGGAAACAAACGACAUCGAAGAGCUUUUCGGACGUGAGUUUGGAAGAGAUGGCCCACCACAUUCUUCACGGCAAUAAAAGCGGGCAUUCCACCGGUAACAGAUGGUUCGAUAAAUUUAUUCAGUUUAUUGUGACCAAAAAUGGUGUUAACGGAAUUGUGAUCGAACAUUCGAUGUCGGAAGGGAUCACAGUUUUAAGAUUCUGUGAAAAUUUUUUGGAUUUCUUGGAAAAUGAUGAGCCCUGGCUCUCUGGUGUUAUCAGACGAUCAACGGAAGAUUACGUGACAGUUAGAAGACUUGCGUGGAAUAUCAGUGAACCUCUCGCAGAAGAGUUGAAAAAGGCAUCGGCCGUCACAGACGCAUUAAUCGAUACGCUGGAACUCAAUGUUUUUAUAUUUGACAAAUACGGCAAAGGUUUUCCGAAGAAACAAAAAAUCAGUCCCGAUGUGUUCAUUCAGUUGUGUUUGCAGUUGACAUACUUCAGAACGCAUGGCAAAGUGACGGCCACUUACGAAAGUGCCGCGUUGAGGAUAUUCAGAUUCGGUCGCUUCGACAACAUCCGCGCUUCCAGCCAAGAGGCUUUUGAUUUCUCAAAGUCCAUGUUAGAUCCUUCUCAGAGUCAGGCUGAAAAAUGGACGAAAUUUCAAAAAGCCGUGAAAAAGCAAACCGAAAUUCUUCUACAAUCAACGGAGAAGGACCGGAUAACCAUCUUCUGUGCUUAAAGGAAAUGGCUGCUCUGCACGGCUUAGAAGAACCGGCACUUUAUCAAACAGAUUAUUACAAAGAGUAUCUGAAUUUCCGAUUAGUCACCAGUCAGCUUCCAACGACGUACAACAUCAAAGUUGGAUACGGUCCCGUGAUGCCCGAUGGAUACGGUUGUUCGUACAAUCCACAAGAGGAUCGUAUCGUCUUUUGCAUUUCGUCGUUCAAAAACGACCCCUCGACCGACUCGGAGAA